rnacentral:tRNA from 1 species
UCCCUGGUGGCUCAGAUGGUAAAGAAUCUGCCUGCAAUGCUGGAGACCCAGGUCCAGUCCCUGGCUCGGGAA